rnacentral:rRNA from 1 species
GAUGAACGCUGGCGGCGUGCCUAAUACAUGCAAGUCGAGCGAACAGACGAGGAGCUUGCUCCUCUGACGUUAGAGGCGGACGGGUGAGUAACACGUGGAUAACCUAGCUAUAAGACAGGGAUAAAUUCGGGAAACCGGAGCUCAUACCGGAUAAUAUAUUGAACCGCAUGGUUCAAUAGUGAAAGACGGUUCUGCUGUCACUUAUAGAUGGAUCCGCGCCGCAUUAGCUAGUUGGUAAGGUAAAGGCUUACCAAGGCAACGAUGCGUAGCCGACCUGAGAGGGUGAUCGGCCACACUGGAACUGAGACACGGCCCAGACUCCUACGGGAGGCAGCAGUAGGGAAUCUUCCGCAAUGGGCGAAAGCCUGACGGAGCAACGCCGCGUGAGUGAUGAAGGUCUUCGGAUCGUAAAACUCUGUUAUUAGGGAAGAACAAAUGUGUAAGUAACUAUGCACGUCUUGACGGUACCUAAUCAGAAAGCCACGGCUAACUACGUG